rnacentral:rRNA from 1 species
GACCUUCGGGCCUCUUGCCAUCGGAUGUGCCCAGAUGGGAUUAGCUUGUUGGUGGGGUAACGGCUCACCAAGGCGACGAUCCCUAGCUGGUCUGAGAGGAUGACCAGCCACACUGGAACUGAGACACGGUCCAGACUCCUACGGGAGGCAGCAGUGGGGAAUAUUGCACAAUGGGCGCAAGCCUGAUGCAGCCAUGCCGCGUGUAUGAAGAAGGCCUUCGGGUUGUAAAGUACUUUCAGCGGGGAGGAAGGGAGUAAAGUUAAUACCUUUGCUCAUUGACGUUACCCGCAGAAGAAGCACCGGCUAACUCCGUGCCAGCAGCCGCGGUAAUACGGAGGGUGCAAGCGUUAAUCGGAAUUACUGGGCGUAAAGCGCACGCAGGCGGUUUGUUAAGUCAGAUGUGAAAUCCCCGGGCUCAACCUGGGAACUGCAUCUGAUACUGGCAAGCUUGAGUCUCGUAGAGGGGGGUAGAAUUCCAGGUGUAGCGGUGAAAUGCGUAGAGAUCUGGAGGAAUACCGGUGGCGAAGGCGGCCCCCUGGACGAAGACUGACGCUCAGGUGCGAAAGCGUGGGAAGCAAACAGGAUUAGAUACCCUGGUAGUCCACGCCGUAAAC